AAUAAAAAUGUCCACACACUUUGCAAAAUUCUACUCCAAUGAGCAAAACACCUCCACAGAUUUGCACAACAUUACACACAAUGUCUGCUUCACCCUUUUUGCAAAACAUUACACACAGUGAUUUGUAAAACUCUACACACAUUUUCACACCUUAGACACAGAUAAGGAUUGUGAGGUUACUUCCUUGUCAUUACAAAGCCCCGGAUUGCCAUUGACCACACUAAUGAACGAAUUGGAUAAUCACAUCCACCAGGUGUGGAAGCACACAUGUGCUAAUUUGAAAACGCAGCACUCAGGUGUGCUAUAAAAGGCAGCAGUUACAGUAUUCUUGUUGCUUUUACAGUAGUUUUUCUUCAGAGUCAAAGUGUAUGUACUUCAUGCAGUAAUUUUUAUUUGUCUACAGAUUUUAUUUGUUUCAUUGAUUUCAUUGUUGGUUGAUUACUGUAACUGAUUAUGGUAAGAAAUACUGUAAGUAUUGAAAUAAAUACUUGAAAUAUUCA